AACCCCCGGCUAGGCCGGGGGUUCCGAAAAGCUUACAGCUAUAAGUCAGUUAUAAAACCCCUUUUGAUUUGUUAAAACAUAUUGCGGUCUGGCAACUGCAAUGGUUCAACAAAAAAUCAAAAG
rnacentral:sRNA from 1 species